rnacentral:miRNA from 1 species
ACACACACACACACACACACACACACACUGCAAAGAGCAAGAGGAACAAAACCUCCCAUUGGUUCCAAAGGAACCAUUUUACCCAUUGCUGUGUGUGUGUGUGUGUGUAUGUGUGU